CACGUAUUUAGCCGGUGCUUCUUAGUCAGGUACCGUCAGUUUCUUCCCUGCUGAUAGAGCUUUACAUACCGAAAUACUUCUUCGCUCACGCGGCGUCGCUGCAUCAGGGUUUCCCCCAUUGUGCAAUAUUCCCCACUGCUGCCUCCCGUAGGAGUUUGGGCCGUGUCUCAGUCCCAAUGUGGCCGGUCACCCUCUCAGGUCGGCUACUGAUCGUCGCCUUGGUAAGCCGUUACCUUACCAACUAGCUAAUCAGACGCGGGUCCAUCUCAUACCACCGGAGUUUUACCCCUGCACCAUGCGGUGCUGUGGUCUUAUGCGGUAUUAGCAGUCAUUUCUAACUGUUAUCCCCCUGUAUGAGGCAGGUUACCCACGCGUUACUCACCCGUCCGCCGCUCAGUCACAAAACUCUUCAUCCGAAGAAUCAAAGUAAAGUGCUUCGCUCGACUUGCAUGUGUUAGGCACGCCGCCAGCGUUCAUCCUGAGCCAGGAUCAAACUCU
rnacentral:rRNA from 1 species